rnacentral:rRNA from 1 species
UACGAAGGGGGCUAGCGUUGUUCGGAAUUAUUGGGCGUAAAGAGCUCGUAGGCGGUUUGUCACGUCUGCUGUGAAAACUGGAGGCUCAACCUCCAGCCUGCAGUGGGUACGGGCAGACUAGAGUGCGGUAGGGGGGAUUGGAAUUCCUGGUGUAGCGGUGGAAUGCGCAGAUAUCAGGAGGAACACCGAUGGCGAAGGCAGAUCUCUGGGCCGUAACUGACGCUGAGGAGCGAAAGCAUGGGGAGCGAACAGG